rnacentral:rRNA from 1 species
GACGGAGGAUGCAAGUGUUAUCCGGAAUCACUGGGCGUAAAGCGUCUGUAGGUGGUUUAAAAAGUCUACUGUUAAAAAUUGAAGCUUAACUUCAAAGAUGCCGUAGAAACUUUUAAACUCGAGGAUGGUAGGGGUAGAGGGAAUUUCCAGUGGAGCGGUGAAAUGCGUAGAUCUUGGAAAGACCACCAAUGGCGAAGGCACUCUACUGGGCCAUUACUGACACUAAGAGACGAAAGCUAGGGGAGCAAACGGG